AGUCGAAUUUUUGGGCCAAGAGAUUAGAGCAUUGAAGUAUAUAGAUUUAGAAAAGGAUUUAUAUAGUACACGACACGUGUUGUGGAUGCGAAAACCAACGAUCCAAAAAGUAGUAAAAUGAAUUCCGAAUAGUUAUAAGUCAUUAGGACGCCCAUAGACAGAAACGGACAGCGAGUGCAUACGGAUUCAAACAAUGGCAUAGAAAUGCGGAGAAUGGCC